ACGGGAGGCAGCAGUGAGGAAUAUUGGUCAAUGGGCGGAAGCCUGAACCAGCCCAGUAGCGUGCAGGAUGACUGCCCUAUGGGUUGUAAACUGCUUUUAUAUGGGGAUAAAAAGAGUACGUGUACUUUCUUGCAGGUACCAUAUGAAUAAGGACCGGCUAAUUCCGUGCCAGCAGCAGCGGUAAUACGGAAGGUCCAGUCGUUAUCCGGAUUUAUUGGGUUUAAAGGGAGCGUAGGCGGCUUGUUAAGCGUGUUGUGAAAUGUAGAUGCUCAACAUCUGAAUUGCAGCGCGAACUGGCUGGCUUGAGUGCGCAGGGAGUUGGCGGAAUUCGUCGUGUAGCGAUGAAAUGCUUAAAUAUGACGAAGAACUCCGAUUGCGAAGGCAGCUGACUGUAGAGUAACUGACGCUGAAGCUCGAAAGUGCGGGUAUCGAACAGGAUUAUAUACCCUGGUA
rnacentral:rRNA from 1 species